AGGAAUAAAAGGAAAAAUAAAAACAUUAUAUGAAGAUUUUCAUGUAUAUGAAAUAACAAAACGUAAUGUAAUUUUACAUUUAAAUGAGUUGAUAACUAAAGAGAAAAUAAAUGAAAUUUUAAAUAAUUAUAAAAAAAAAAAAGAGAGUAACAUGUUAUUAAAUAUAACUAACCCUGAAUUAUCUAUUCAUUUUUUAAGCAAAUAUAUAAAUCAUUUUAACACUUUAGUUUUUAAAAAAUUUUUACAUAUGCUUUACAAAAUAUAUUUAUUAAAAAAAAAAGAAGAGGAACAAAAUUGUUAUAAUACCAUUAAUAGUAAUAGUGACAGUGAUAGUGAUAAUAAUAACAACAAUAUGAAUAAUGUGAAUAAUAUGAAUCAUAUGAAUAAUAUGAAUAAUAUGAAUAAUAUGAAUAAAACUAAACACACGGGUGUAGAUAUUGCAAAGGAUUUUUCGGUCCCGUAUUGUUUUUUGAUUAUCACCGAAGGUGAUCUAAGUGCAAAAGAGACAACAUGCAAAAACGCAGCUUCAAAAAUAUUAAGUGACAAUUCAAUCGAAAAAAUAAAAAUAAUAAGAAAAAAUAUUCAUAAUGCUAUAAAAAUGUACUACCCAUUUUUAAACACUGAAACGGUUAAAUAUAAUGAAGCACAAGCAAUUAUAUCAGAUGGUAAUAUAUUAAAUGGUAUUACUGAUUAUAUGGAUAUUAUAAAAGAUAGUAGCACUGGUAUUAAUGGACUAGGUACCGAAAAAAAUGACGAACUGAAUAACACAAUAGAUAAUAAAAUAAACAACAUAAGUGAUAAUUAUAAAAACGUAAGUAGUGUUAUUAAAGUAUACCCAUCAUUUUCUUGCUUAAAUUUUAUUAUGCCUUCAAUUUUAUUUAAUAAAAUAAAAAAAAAGUGCCAGUUAACUGCACGUUUUAAUGAUAAUAAUAAUAAUAUAGAAAAUAUAUUAUAUGAUUACCAAUGUGAACUAAGCAAUAAAAAGGUACACAUUUCUAGUAGUAAUAAAAAAAAUGAACAAAAUAAUGUAAGUGACGUUUAUUUAAAAAAAGAAAAUACAUGUAUGGACAUGAAGAAAGAUAGUGUUAACAUAUGUGUUGGUAGUAGCAAUAGUAUCAGUAGCAGUAGCAGUAGUAAUAGUAGUAGCAGUAGCAGUAGUAGUAGUAGUAGUAGUAGUAGUAGUAUUAACAAUGAACAUACUGCUGGAAUGAAAAAAAGAAAAAUAAUGCUCAACAAUGGAUUGUCUGGCGAGCGUAACAAUUCAGACACGUGUAAUCAAGUCGAUUACACACGCAGCGAAGUGCUGUACACAUCUUUGAGCGAUAAACACAAGCAUAGUCAAACAUUUUUAGAUACACUUAACGAAAAAAAAAAAAAAAAAAAAACAACAAAAGAAAGCAAAACAAUAUGUU
rnacentral:lncRNA from 1 species